CUAACUCCAGGCUCCCUUUCAUAUUCACACUUGCAGUACAGCAGGAGCUUUUAUGGAUCCAGAAUUUUUGGGCCUGCUCAUCUACUCCUGUCAGGUGACAACAAUAAGCCGGGACACAUGGAAUAGAGAUUCCCAGGUAUCUUCCCUGGAUAUUCCAAAUUUAAAUAAGGCUCCAGAAACAUAAAUUUUAAAUAAACAGCCCAAGAGACUCUUGUCUUCAGGAAGCACUGGGAAACACCGAAGUGCUACUGUAAUCCUGGUCACUUUACAGAAGAGGAAAUGAAAGCCUGAAGAAGAGUAAGAGCUCACCUGAGGUCACCAGCUCCUCCAUUGCAGAUCUGAUUCAAUGUCAGGUUUUCUGAUGCCCUUGAUGCCAAAGCCUCUGCUUGGGAAGAAUGCAACUCCUGAGAGUUCCAGUUUGCAUAGAAAAGAGGAGUAUGAAUACAUCCCAUCCUUGUUUCCAGUUCAGGUGAAGCACUUAACCGACAUUUUAUGUUACCUGGCCUCCCACUAGGCAGUGUCUUCUGAUCAGCUGCAUGGCAUUCCUUGUGCUUGGAAUGAUCACCACUGGAAGACCUGGAAAGCCUUCAAGCUUUCCUAGCUUACCUUAUCGCCAAUGCAGUCAGCUUCACAGCAACUGGGCUUCUCAUGUCCCAAAGAACCUCACUACAUACGUGACAUCCUCCCUGCUUUGUAAUCAUGAGGCAGAUUGCAGCUAUGGAGAAGAUGAAUCUACUGUGGUAAGGUAGACAAAUCACCAAAGCUAAAGGACAGUCACCAGAAGGUAACAAUUCCACUUCAAAAUUAUUAAAAUGUUACGUACACUUGUCUACCACUAGAAAUAAUGCCUUUGUAUAAUAUAGGUCAAAUGCCCAACAGUCUUCCACAAAAAUCUGGUAUUCAAAUGUCCCGGCCAGAAGACUUGGACAUAUGUGGACAAGGUGUGCGGCAGAAGAAAUGACUGUGAUGGCUGCUCAGUUGAAUCAGCACUACCUUACAGUCUAGCAAAGCUGGAUUCUUCUAAAACCACAGCAGCAGAUGCAAUUCCAAUCCAACAUGGUCUUAAUCAAUGUUUCAAACACUUAUCAGAAAUGCACUAGAUAAUUACCUGUCCUUUGCUUAUCAUGGAGGGUAAAAAUAGAAAUGCAUCUUAGGAAUUGUGAAUGGCAUUGCUAAAAGUACAAAGAGCCUUCUCUUCUGGCUAGCUGCCAAUUAGCAAAUAAAGAUUAUUUCCCUGCUGGCUAAAUAUACAAACUUAUAUGGACCUUUCCUUGUUUAUGUAAUAUAUCAGUGUGUUUAUUUUUAGGCUGACAUGGAGAGAUCGCACUCUCAUUGGCUUUUCUUUUUUUUUCUUUUGAGAUAGGGUCUUGCUAUGUAGCCCAGG